rnacentral:rRNA from 1 species
GAUGAACGCUGGCGGCGUGCUUAACACAUGCAAGUCGAACGGAAAGGCCCCUGCUUGCUGGGGUACUCGAGUGGCGAACGGGUGAGUAACACGUGGGUGAUCUGCCCUGCACUUCGGGAUAACCCCGGGAAACUGGGUCUAAUACCGGAUAGGACCAUGUGUUGGAUGCCAUUGUGGAAAGUUUUUCGGUGUGGGAUGAGCUCGCGGCCUCUCAGCUUGUUGGUGGGGUAGUGGCCUACCACGGCGUCGACGGGUAGCCGGCCUGAGAGGGUGUACGGCCACAUUGGGACUGAGAUACGGCCCAGACUCCUACGGGAGGCAGCAGUGGGGAAUAUUGCACAAUGGGCGGAAGCCUGAUGCAGCGACGCCGCGUGGGGGAUGACGGCCUUCGGGUUGUAAACUGCUUUCGCUAGUGACGAAGCGCAAGUGACGGUACCGGGAGAAGAAGCACCGGCUAACUACGUG